GAGAAUGAGCAUAAUGGAGGAGGUGCUGCCUGUUACCUAUCGGAUUUGACAGAUUUAUUUCCUUAUUCCUGGGCUGACCUGUUUGGCUGCACAUGGAAUUGGAAAUCGUCUUUCCGGUGAUUUCUGCAGGCUAAUUUCCUUACCUGCGACACCUUCUGAGCCUAAAACGAAGAAAUCGAAUCCAUCCGACUCACCUCCCCUCUCGACUUGCCUCCCUUCCCUGAUGCCGCGCCGCCUCCCUCUCCCGACUCCCCUCCAUCUCGACGUCGCACCCCCUCAUCCGCCACCUCCUCCAGCACCCCCUCCUCGCCUCCUCCUGACUCGCCUCACCCUCGUGCUGCCGCCGCCCCCGACUCCGACUCCUCGAGCGCUGCGCCGCCGCCUCCCGCGCCACGACCCCUCGCGACCACCUCCUCGACAGUGAGGUAAACCUCCUCUAGUUUCCCUCCUCCAUCUCGCUCUCCGCAUCACCCCUUACUUUUUUCUUCCUCACCGGCUCACCCCUUCCCCUUGAACAAGCCGCAGAUCUGCUGGGAGGCACCACCGGCAAGCAGGCUGGGAGUAGCGGCAACGGCGGCUGCCCCAUCCACAUCUCUAUGGACGGCAUCUUCAACAUUCCGACUACGCGCGUGCUCUCCACUAGCAAACAAUCCCUUCUGCCCAUUCCCUGUGCUACUUGAGUCAGCAAAGAAACUACUAGUUAGUUGCAUCAUAUUCUCACUGUCAAAUUGGAAGACCAUUGCUCUUGCUCCUACUAGUAGACCGCACUUUCCACAAAAUGCGACACACGAAUUUGUUAAUUUUGCUGUAAUUCUGCUGUCAAAUCGAAAGGCCAUCCUCUUGCUCUAAACAGUUUCUGCAAUUUCGUGCACUAUCGAUUGCUAGUGCUAAUUACAUGGAGGGCCUUUGGUGCUUCUCUGCUAGUGCUAAUUAUAUGUGACAUGCUCUUAGAUUCUUCAUCCUGUGUGCUGCCAUUAGUUUAAAUUUGGUAGAAGCUGAAAUCUCUUCGUAGAUCAUUAUGUGCUGCCAUUCUGAUAUCCUGUGGAGUUGCAUAUCAACUACAGUAAUGCGAAAACUUGUCAGUUCGUUAAAUAGAGAUGUGACUCUACUUUUCUUACAGUGAGAUGAC
rnacentral:lncRNA from 1 species